UACGUAGGGUGCGAGCGUUAAUCGGAAUUACUGGGCGUAAAGCGUGCGCAGGCGGCUUGGCAAGACAGAUGUGAAAUCCCCGGGCUCAACCUGGGAACUGCAUUUGUGACUGCAAGGCUAGAGUACGGCAGAGGGGGAUAGAAUUCCGCGUGUAGCAGUGAAAUGCGUAGAUAUGCGGAGGAACACCAAUGGCGAAGGCAAUCCCCUGGGCCUGUACUGACGCUCAUGCACGAAAGCGUGGGGAGCAAACAGG
rnacentral:rRNA from 1 species